UUAGAGAGAGGUUAGGCAAGAAUGAUGGGCCCAGGGUGAAUUGAUGGAGGGGAGGUGUGAAUUGGGGUCGGAAAUCCACUUAGGCAAAAAGCCCAUUUCUCCGAACACCAAAUCUGGAUCCAUCGUGAACAUUGAAGGUUCAGUCCAAAACUUGCUGAAGAAAUUCGCUGAAAGCUUCAAACGAAGCGAGCGCACGCUUAGAAACGCAUGACACUCAUCAUCGGCGAUGAUGAAUCUCCCUCGGUGGCACACACCAAGAACCAUGUCAGACUUGUUCUUAAUCUAACAACAACAACAACCUCACUUGCGCAUCGAAGCCAUGUUCAAAGCUUAAACAAAACAACGACGAGGUUCUCGAAAUCUGGUGGCGAAACUCGAAUCAACCAAAUCGGGAAAAUGAAACCUUGGAUCAAGAUUGUAAUUUAGAAACUCACCUUCGGGCGCCGGCAAAUCUCCUCCGACGGCCGCAAGAAUCGACCCGAUCCAACUCCUACAAUCUACAUCGUCGUCAUUGCUAUGUUGGGAAGAACUCGAAGAUCCUUGCGUUGGCGAUGGAGAGAGAAUGGUUGUCUGGUUCGUAUGCAUCACGUAGAGAUGAAGAUGAAGGUCGUCCGGACAUGGACGAAUAAGCUCUCUCUCGAUUCUCGUUUCUGAUUUUUGUUUCAGAUUCCUUCGCUUUUCCGCUUCGAUUCCGUUGCUCUUCUUCUUUCUUUUUUUUUUGCAGGUGGUGGAUCGUUGUGUUGGAGGUCGUUGUUGGAGAUAGAAUGGAGUUGUCGUCGAUGACGAUGGAUGACGGUGGAUGAGUCGCGGGUGAAUCUGGAGUAACCGAAGGUGAAGAAACCGCGCUCAGGAAGUUUGAAGCAUUGGUUAUUGAAGAAGGUCAAAGGGUUAUAAAAAAAACGGAUUGGUUAUAGGGAGGUGGAAGUUAGUUCGUGGAAUGAAUGCUUUGGCAAGGGAUCUCGUUAGCCUAUCAAUUCUAUUCCUGUUCUUUAUUUGUUGUUGUUUCUGUUAUGUUUUUUUUAUUUCUGCAGGUUAUGAGCUCGAAAGAGUGUGUUGCGAAACUCUGUAAGCUGGUUUUUAGUAGGAAUUGAAGUCACAGUUUAUUCAAGGUUGGUUUAUUGGACAAAGAAAUGGAGGAUUAGAAGUCGAAUUUCAUCUUGUUCGCCAUUGAAGAAGUUAGAGGGUGGAGUCCGGUUACGGGUGCCGACGGCUAGAGGAAAUUUUUGUUGUUAAGUUUAAUGGUGUUAUGCUGUUAUUAAUUAUGUUAGUUUGUCAGUGGAUUUGGAGACCCUCCCAUCAUGUCAAAUUUGACGGAAAACGGUACUGCAUCCAGCACGCGCAGUAUUCACGAUGGAUUUCUAUUCCCAAGUGAAAUUCUUUUGGCACGUCAAAAUGGCCAUGGGAUGAACGUAUGGUUGUAUCGUUGUAAUGGCUUUAUGUUGUAAUUGGAUGGAAAUGUAUGGAUUUGAAAAGUCUUAAAAGAUGGAUAAUGGAAAUUAGAUUGAAAUGUAAUUUGGAACAUGGUUUUGUAA